rnacentral:snoRNA from 1 species
UGCCGAUGAUGACGUCGCCAUGCUAAUACCGACCGGCCGGGGGCCGGCGUGAGUGCACCCCCAGACCUGAGGCAC